AACCUGCUCACUUGUGUGUGUGACCUUCAGAGGCUCCAAAGGCCCCCGGGGUUAAAGAAAGGAUCCAGACUUGGCGAAAUGGCAGAUUCCAGGGCUGGGGCUGGGAUGUUGCAAGAUGGGCUGAAAACAAUGGGAAAAGAAUGACUUGACAGUGAUGACAUCUGGCAGAUGCCACCUUCAUCAUAAGGCCACAAUUCAUACAAGCCAUGGGACCAGUCGAACCCAUUCACCACCCGGUAGGACCCAGCGAGGAGAGCAUGACAUCAUUUUUGUGAUACUUCUGCCAGGAAUGUGUAUCCUGAAUCCAGCCAGAGGAAACACUAGACAGACCCAACGUUCUACAAUUUGCAAUCAUCUAAAGGGCAUGAGACCAGGGAAAGACUGAGAAACUGGUUUUGAAGAAAAUCAAGGAGACUUUGAGAACCAAACACGACACGAGAUUCUAUACUGGAUCCCUUUAGUAUGAAGGACUUUAGUGGGACAAGUGGUGAAACUUGAAGGGUAUUGGGGACUGGAUGGUGGGGAGGGCUCUGUGCUAAUUGCGCAGGUAUCAAUUCUUCUUGCCUCAGCUUAUCAAUCAAUCCUUACCAAUAAUUAGUAAGACUGCAAAAUGAAAUUAAACAGUUUCCUUUACAUUUUCUGCCUACUGAGAGCUGUAAAACAUGAUGAUGAUAAAGCAAAUAGAAAAAUAAUGUUAGUAAAAGAUGGAAAUAUAAAAGCAUAUUUGGAAGAAAUUAUUCAAUGGAGAAUAAGAAAUGAGAGAAAUAUGUUCAGUGGUGGAAUAGUGC
rnacentral:lncRNA from 1 species